rnacentral:tRNA from 1 species
GCACCAGUAGCUCAACGGAUAGAGCCCUUGUCUUCGGAACAAGUGGUUACAGGUUCGAUUCCUGUCUGGUGCA